GUGUGUUAUACGCGAGGGAAGGCCAGAAGCAGUAGGGUUGGAGUUGGGAGUGUGGAACGCUUGUGAAGGGCUGGAAUAGAGCGAGGCGAGUCGACUUGGAGAAGACAGGGAGGUUGCGGACGAGGGGAGAAUGGACAUAGGAUGGGGAUGAUGGUGCUGGUGGUGGAGGAAAUGAGUGAUUAAAGAAGGAUAAGGCCUGUCUUUGCUGCUUUUCUACAACAGGAAGGCCUUGUCUGUAAUGGCUGACAGCAGUACCUGCUUCCUAGGAGGACUCCUUUGGGCACCAUAAGCCAGAAGAGCCAGGGAAUCAGCAGCUCCAGGAGCAAUUCUCAACAAUGACAGGAGUUGGUGUCUAAAAACCACAGCUUCCUCAGGCCUUGGGUGGGAUGACUCUCAGUUGUGAUUUGCUGUCUUCCAGAGUUCUCCAGUGGCAUAAAUUUCAAUAUCCCGUCAUGGCAACAAAUGCAUCCUUUGGACCUGGAUCUGCCUAUUCAUGUGCAAAAUCUCCACGUGGCUCAUGUUUCCAUUGUCCCUGGUGAGUCUCUGUGCACAGACCGGCCAGCUCUGGCAAGGCUGAGAACGGAAGAGCUGACGUUUCUUUGGUCUUAUUUGACUGGAGUUUCCCUUGUUAUUUCUGACUUGUGGUGUGCCUGGCUUCCCCCACAUCUGUCUCCAUCAUGACUGGUGCCCUCUGACUCACGCAGCACAGCACUGUCUCUCCCAGGCACCGCCUGCUUGGAAUGGCUCAGAGCAGGCCCUCCUCCCUGUAGCUGACUCAGCUCUGCACGUGCUGCCCGUCACAGCCCUGUCCGGAGAUGGACCCAUGUUCACGAGUGGGCGCUGAGACCCCCACAUGGCUGCCUUUUGCUCAGUCACCCUGAGACUGGUUCUUGUUUCCAUAUGUCAACACACCUUGGAAAGAGAUGUAAUAAGGCCUCUGCUUCUGGUGACAGCUGUUCGUGAAAAAGCACUGAGUUUUGCCCAAAUGACAGCAGCUCCGGUGGUAGGGGAAAUCCAGCUGUAUCUGGUGUAAGAGGACUCUCCAAGCGUUGGGCAGAGGGUGGGAGUCCUCUUAAGUCUCAGCUCAAAUGCCACUUCAACUCAAUUCCACUAACAUGUGAUGAGUCCCUGCUAUCCCUCCUCCACACUGCCUCGCAAUGAAUUCUUUCUCCCUCGGGCCCCCAUUUCUGUGCUUAUCACAGUCCGACUUAAAUUCCAGUUAACUGUGACUGUGUUAUCCUUCCUGCUGGACCACCAGCUCCUUGAUGGGGCAGGGUGGGCGUGGGGUGGGGUGAAUCCUUCCACAGUCAUCUCUUUCUGCUAUACAGGACAGUUUACAGAAUAGUAAUCAACGUGUGUUUGUUGAAUGAAUACAAGUAGCUAACGUCCAGGCCCUACACGCCUUGUGUGUCCCUGGCCUCCAGGACACCCCACAUCCCUAGCCUCACCUUCCUCUGAGUCCUGGUUGCCCCCUCUCCCCUGUUUGAACCAAACAGAUUCAUUUUGGGGGGUGGGAGAUGUGAUAGGUCACCCCCCCACCCCAGGUGUGCCUCAGGCUCCCUGCCCCAGCAAUCUGUUCCACCCUCAUCCACCAAGGAGCCAGGUGUGAGAAACAUCACAUUCCUGCAGAGCCUCUCCAUAGAGUAAACGCUCAUCUGAAAACCACUGGGAGGUUACACCUUUAUAAGUGAAUCUUCCUUUGUGUGUCUCUGUGUGUGUGUGUGUGUG